GUGUGCCCAAGCAUUGAGGCAGUCAAAGUAGGCAAAUCCGCUUUGAUAAUGCUGGGAUGUGAUGGGGAGCGAAAUUUAGUAGCGAAGUAGCUGAUUUCACACUGUCAAGAAAAGUCUCUAUCGAGGUUAAAGGUACCCGUACCGCAAACCGACACAGGUGGGUGAGGAGAGUAUCCUAAGGCCAGCGAGAGAACUGUUGUUAAGGAACUCGGCAAAAUGACCCCGUAACUUAGGGAUAAGGGGUGCCACCAUCAGGUGGCCGCAGAGAAUAGGCCCAAGCGACUGUUUACCAAAAACAUAGGUUUCUGCUAAGUCGCAAGACGAUGUAUAGGAGCUGACGCCUGCCCGGUGCUGGAAGGUUAAGGGGAUCUGUUAGAGCAAUCGAAGCAGUGAACUUAAGCCCCAGUAAACGGCGGCCGUAACUAUAACGGUCCUAAGGUAGCGAAAUUCCUUGUCGGGUAAGUUCCGACCCGCACGAAAGGCGUAACGAUUUGGGCACUGUCUCAACAACAGACUCGGUGAAAUUGUAAUUCCGGUGAAGAUGCCGGAUACCUGCGACAGGACGGAAAGACCCCAUGGAGCUUUACUGUAGCUUGACAUUGGGUCUUGGUACUACAUGUACAGGAUAGGUGGGAGGCUUUGAAACCAGGACGCCAGUUUUGGCGGAGCCAUCCUUGGGAUACCACCCUUGUAGUACUGGGACUCUAACCAUAGGCCAUGAAUCUGGUCUUGGGACACUGUCAGGUGGGCAGUUUGACUGGGGCGGUCGCCUCCCAAAAGGUAACGGAGGCGCUCAAAGGUUCUCUCAGUACGGUCGGAAAUCGUACGUAGAGUGUAAAGGCAAAAGAGAGCUUGAUUGCAAGACAUACAGGUCGAGCAAGGAUGAAAAUCGGACUUAGUGAUCCGGUGGUUCUGCGUGGAAGGGCCAUCGCUCAACGGAUAAAAGCUACCCUGGGGAUAACAGGCUUAUCUCCCCCAAGAGUCCACAUCGACGGGGAGGUUUGGCACCUCGAUGUCGGCUCAUCACAUCCUGGGGCUGUAGUAGGUCCCAAGGGUUGGGCUGUUCGCCCAUUAAAGUGGUACGCGAGCUGGGUUCAGAACGUCGUGAGACAGUUCGGUCCCUAUCCGUCGCAGGCGUAGGAAAUUUGAGAAGACCUGUCCUUAGUACGAGAGGACCGGGAUGGACG
rnacentral:rRNA from 1 species